rnacentral:rRNA from 1 species
UACGUAGGCAGCGAGCGUUGUUCGGAGUUACUGGGCGUAAAGGGUGCGUAGGCGGUUGUUUAAGUUUGGUGUGAAAUCUCCCGGCUCAACUGGGAGGGUGCGCCGAAUACUGAAUGACUAGAGUGCGGGAGAGGAUAGUGGAAUUCCUGGUGUAGCGGUGAAAUGCGUAGAUAUUCGCAAGAACACCAGUGGCGAAAGGCGGCUCACUGGCCCGAUACUGACGCUGAGGCACGGAAAGCGUGGGGAGCAAACAGG